AGCAGUCGCCACGGUAAUACAGAGGGUGCGAGCGUUAAUCGGAUUUACUGGGCGUAAAGCGUGCGUAGGCGGCUUCUUAAGUCGGAUGUGAAAUCCCUGAGCUUAACUUAGGAAUUGCAUUCGAUACUGGGAAGCUAGAGUAUGGGAGAGGAUGGUAGAAUUCCAGGUGUAGCAGUGAAAUGCGUAGAGAUCGGAAGGAACAUCUGUGGCGAAGGCGACUAUCUGGGCCAUUACUGACACUGAGGCACGAAAGCGUGGGGAGCAAACAGGAUUAGAUACCCCUGUAGUCCCUGUCUCUUAUAA
rnacentral:rRNA from 1 species